rnacentral:rRNA from 1 species
UAUUUUUUAUAUAUUUAUAUUAUUAUUUAUAAAAUAGAUUGAAAAAAAUAAUUUUAUUUUUAGUAUUUUUAAAAAAUAAAUAUUUGUUUAUAGUACUGUGAAGGAAUAGAUUGAUUUUAUUAAAAUCAGUUAUUUUUAAUGUACCUUUUGUAUCAGGGUUUAUCAAAUUUUACAAUUUAUUUUUGUUUUCUCGAAAUUUUAAGAUUUAUAUUAGCAUGUUGAUUUAUGUAAUAAUAUAAUCAAUAAUGCUAAUAUAGUGAAUAUAUUUUAUUCAAUUAAAAAUAUCUAGUUUUCUGAUAAUUGGAUUUAAUCCAUCAAUAAAUAUUGAUGUAAUUUUAUUUAUAUUUAUUGAUAUUUAAAAAAGGAUAAGCUUUUUUAAAUAUCUAUAAGGGUUAAAUUGUUAAUAUUAAUUGUAGAAUUAAUAAUAUUCAUCUUUUAGUUUGUAAAAAUUAUAUUUAUGGUUUUUUUUAUUUAUUAUUUUUUUUAGAUAUAUAUUGGAAUAAUAAAAUUAAUUUUUAAUUUUUUAAAAAAAUGAUAAAAUUAGUAUAUUUUUUAAAUAAAUUAUAGUAAUUCAGCAAAUAUAAUUUUCACCUGUUUAACAAAAACAUGGUUUUUUGUUUAUAUAAAAAAUUUGGCCUGCCCAAUGAUUAUUUUAAUGGCUGCAGUAUUUUGACUGUACAAAGGUAGCAUAAUCAUUUGUCUUUUAAUUGGAGUCUGGUAUGAAUGGUUAGAUGAAAAAUUUACUUUCUUUAUUUUAGAAAUAAAAAUUGAUUUCUAAAUCAAAAAGUUUAGAUAUUUUUAAAGGACGAGAAGACCCUAUAGAACUUAACUCCCCUAAUUUAAUUAUUUACUUGUAAAUAAUUUUUAUUUAUUUUUAAGGGGAGUUUUAUUGGGGUGAUAAAAAAAAUUUUUUAACUUUUUUUAUUUUUUUCAUUUAUUUAUGAAUUUUUGAUCCUUUAUUAAGGAUAGUAAGAUUAAGUUACCUUAGGGAUAACAGCGUUAUUAUUUUAGAGAGUUCAUAUUAAUAAAAUAGUUUGCGACCUCGAUGUUGGAUUAAAAUUAGUGUUAGGAGUAUAAUAUUAACUACUAGGUCUGUUCGACCUUUAAAUUUUUACAUGAUCUGAGUUCAGACCGGCGUGAGCCAGGUCGGUUUCUAUCCUUAAAUUAAUUUAAAGAGUUUAGUACGAAAGGACCAAUUUUUUAAAAUAUUUUUUUAUUACUUGAUUUAUAUU